UAAUUGAAACACUUGCAAUUGGUCAAGGAACUGUAUUAAAGCUGUUUCUUCAUACCUGAGUGGGAACACUUCAUAUAAUCAUAUACAAGUAACUUAAUGCGAAACAAAAUAAGCGGGUUAUACUUUUAGUAGAUUCCAAAAGUUACAAUGCCUUUUCGGGUUCGAGUUAAGAAAUUCGUACAAGUAACUAAUUGUUGGAAGCAAAAUGUGAUCUAUAAAAGUGCUAAAUAAAUCUGAGUUAGGCCGAAUUUCCAAGACCAUGGUACAAUCAUUGUUUUAUCUUUGGUUUACCGUCCUUGGUUUAUGUCAUCAAUUCUUUCACAACCAUAAGUGAAGGAGACUCUGGGGUCACAAAUUAAACCAAAGCAAUACCUUUUUAGACUGCGAAUUAUGAGAGCAUUUGAUCACGCUAUGUACGAAUGGUACAUUUUUCCACAUAGCUAUCACAGUACCUUAAGCUCUCCUUGCUUUCGAUAAUCAGUAAUAUUCACUAAAAUUAUACCAAAAUGUGAACCGAGACUAACAACGCAACAAUUUUCAAAACUUGCAUCGAAACCUAGCCAAUCUUAUUCCAUCCCAUUAUCUCUUAUUGACUUAAAGGUCAAGCUCAGCAAAGUCUGAUAAUAUCCAUUUUCAUGUAAUAUGAACAAAGAUAAUCGUCAUCUUAAAAACUUAGAACUACAUGUCCGUCAUGAAGUGGUCGUCGUCCUUCAUCAUUUUCGCCAUUUUCGUCCUAGUUUCGGCACAAUCUGAGGCCAAAACAGCGCUCUUCAAGACCCAAGGGAUCAUGGAAGAGACUUGUCCUGAAAUUGCCCAAUUGCAUGGAUGGACUUGUCACGAAUCCUAUUUGGAUCGGGUGUCCGCUUUCCGAUGUCGUCAGAUGUGUUCGCAAUCCGAGACUCCAUGCUACCACAUGGAAGAAAAAUCCUGUUUUUGUUGUUCAAAAUGAUUCCUGAUUCGUUCCCUUGAUCCGCAAUAAUAAAAGAAAAGCAUUGGA